UUGGGUGCUGCUCCGUUCAAAGUCCAAUCUUGAAUAUGGCAUUUUGUUUGGCCCAGAGAGGGUGAAAGGCCCGUGUGGACGGAGUGGCGCUUGACUGCGACGACCAUGGAGUCGGGUUGUUUGAGAAUGCAGCCCAAAGUUGGUGGUAAACUCCAUCUAAGGCUAAAUACUGGCACGAGUCCGAUAGCGAACAAGUACCGUGAGGGAAAGUUGAAAAGUACUCUGAAGAGAGAGUUAACAGUGCGUGAAACCGCUUAGAGGCAAACGGGUGUAGUCAAGCUGCAAGCCUUUGGAAAUCAGCGGGCCAGCGUGGCGUGAGCCUGAGCACAUUUGAGCUGGCGUGUGGGUUUGGCUGUAUGGCCAGGAUCGGCUCGCAAGAGUCGGUUUUGCGGAGCGUCAUUUGAUGCUGCAAGCCUGUGCGUCGGUUGCUCUACUGGCCCGUUCACUUUCCUUUGGCGUAUGUCACGACCGUCGUUGCUGUCGGUCUGCCCCUCUUAAACCGUAUCGUGGGUUGCCUUGUGUUUCCCGCGUUACGGAGGCAGGUAGCCGGCCUGGCAUUAGCUGGGCUGGUCUUAUUGCUGAGGGGGGUGGUAUCUGUAACUGUGCAGUGCGGCGGGGAUGGCGGCGCGUUGAUGUUGGGCGUGCUAUAGUGUGCCGGUGUAGCGGUAGUCUGACUGUCGUAGCUGUCUCUGACGGCUUGGUGGUGGCUCUGCUGCAGUUUGGUGCACGGCAGCGCUCGAUCAACCUUCGCGUUGUGCCCACA
rnacentral:rRNA from 1 species